rnacentral:lncRNA from 1 species
UAUUUUGUUUUGUGUCCCUCCUCCCCCAACUGGAAUGUAAAUUCUAGGAAGGCAAAGAUUUUUGCUUAGUUUUGUUUACUACUCUCUCUCUCCAGGACCUGUGGUAUUGCCUGGCAUAGAAGGAUACUCAGUGAACAUUUGUUGAGUGAAUGCCAUUUUCCAUCUGAGUGAGAUACUGUUUUUAAGAGUUUGUGUCUAUUUCAGCACAUGAAGGAAUUGCUGUCUGCAAUUUCCUUGAGAAAAAUCUUAUGGGAAAAUAGGGACAAUUUUCUUUUCUUUUCUUUCCUUUUUUAAGACGGGGUUUUGCUCUGUCGUCUAGGCUGGAAUGCAGUGGCGUUAUCCUGGCUCAUUACAACCUCUGCCUCCUAAGUUGAAGCGAUUCUUGUGCCUCAGCCUCCUGAGUAGCUGGGAUUACAGGCAUGCACCUCCACGCCUGGCUAAUUUCUGUAUUUUUAGUAGAGACGGGGUUUUGCCAUGUGGGCUAUGCUGGUUUCAAACUCCUGAGCUCAAGUGAUCCUCCCACCUUGGCCUCCCAAAGUGCUAGGAUUACAGUUUGACUUUGAAGGAUCACUUUCCCCUGUCAUUGCACCCAAAAAAGCAAGGCCUUCUGAGACUGGAUCUGAUGAUGUGGGGUCUCACUCUGUCACCCAGCUGGAUGCAGUGGCGCUAUCUCGACUCACUGCAACUUCCGCCUCCCCAGCUCAAGCGAUCCUCCCACCUCAGUCUCCCGAGUAGUUGGGACCACAGGUGUACCCACCACACCUGCUGUUUUGUUCUGUUUUGUUUUUAUUUUUGGUAGAGACUGGGUUUCACCAUGUUGCCCAGGCUGUUCUUGAACUCCUGGGCUCAAGUGAUUUCCCCGCCUCCACUUCCCAAAGUGUUGGGAUUAUAGGCGUGAGCCACUGCACUGGCCAUUAUUUUAUUUUUGAGACAAGGUCUCUUUCUGUCUCCCAGGCUGGAGUGCUGUGGCAGGAUCGUGGCUCACUGCAGCGUUGACGUCCUGGGCUCAAUCCAUCCUCCCACCUUAGCCUCCUGGGUAGCUGAGACUACAGGCAUGCCAGCUACAGGCAUGCGCCACCAUGCCCGGCUUUUUUCUUUAAUGUAGAGACGGGGUCUUACCAUGUUACCCAGGCUGGUCUCCAACUCCUGGGCUCAAGUGAU